AAAAUUUGUGUAUAAAUUCUGAAUUUCAGGAAAAGACAAUCUUGAAGAAAUUGACUAGCCAACUCCUUAUAUUUUGAUGCUCAGACUUCUCAAGGCUGCUCAAUUUGACACAAAGGAAUAAAGGAUGGAAUUGUCAAUAUGAAGUUAACCAAUAAUUGCAAUGUACGUUGGUUUGCUUGUGGUGAAGGAGGAGUUUGAAAGAAAAUCAAAAGUGUUUGAUGAAUUGUAUAAUUAUUUAGACAUGUAAAGCUUUUUGUAGUUGUCAUGUAAAUAUUGUGUACUUUAACAUUAUUAAAUAUUAAUAAUGAAAUAUAUUUUUUUAAA